CUUCUCUCUUGUAUUCUACAUGUAUUUUCUCGAGGAAGUGCUACAUGGGUGUUCGAUGUGUGAUUAUUCUGUGUGUUUGAAUGGUUAUGUUUAUGGUUUGUGCCUUUGAGAUUAUCCUGAGAUGGAUUUCUCUGCUAUUGUGGACGCUGCCGCGUCGAGUUCGACGAAGGUUAGUGGAGUUUGUGGUUUGGAUCGUCUGGGCUGUAGUGACUUUGACUCUUAUGGGUAUAUAUGCAUUAGAGUUGGUUGCAUGGUAGCCUCUGGGGCAACUUGGUAUUGGGAUUUUGCCUCUGGCGAAAUUCUGCACGGGGCUGCUGAUAAGGGAUCUUGUAAUUGCAUCCUGGUGUUGAUUGCAUCUAUUCAUGUAUUUGAUCUGACAUGAUUUACGUAGAUUGGUGGAGAAGUUGGUUAAAAUGUAUACCUUAUCAUUCAGGACCUCCUGUACUGGUUUUGUUUGCGAGUUAAGGUGAUGAAGAAUUUUGUAGGGUCUGAAGACUCACUCCGCGUGGUGAUGCUUAUGAUGUUUACUUUUCAGUUUCCAAGUCUUGGAUACACGUUUGAUACAGAUUCAGUACUGAACCACGUUGAACAGAGAAUUGAUAGAUGUUCCCAAGAACACUAUGAGUGAUGUGCAAAGGUGUGAUAGUCACCCAUAUGUAUCAUUUUCAUGGUUUUGUUCAUGGCUUCCAGCUUAUUUUCAGUAUAGAAAGAAAAAAAUAAAAUUUGACCGACAUGCAUACCUCUUGGGAUACCAAAUAAUCUUUUUAACUGUAUGAUUAACAUUCUACAUCUGUUUUUCUAGAAGAGGUCGACACCCCACUUUUACUAAUUAGAUUAACCUUCUACAUCUUGGUUUGACAUGUCAAAUAAUUAUAGCAUGCAAGUUUUUUUCGUUAUUGAAAAUGU